rnacentral:ncRNA from 2 species
UUACAUGCUUGGGGGUGCCCUUUGGGCUGAGAUUAUACCCUUUUCACCUGAUCAGGAUAAUGCCUGCGAAGGGAAAGCCUUUCUCACAACA